AUGACGAAAACAAAGUUCAUAACAGUGUUUCUCUUCAGCACUCAUUUAGUCAUGAUGAAUUGUGACUGGAACAUUCUGUCAAUGACACACGGCAUCAGAAAGUUUUUAAAAACUCCGCUACCUAUAUGGACAACCAACACAACCGAAGACAAAGUGGGAAAGCCACAAUGUGAAGUGGACCUGCUGAUGACUAUAAGCAAAUCCCAUAUAACGUACCUUCACUUGUGGUACGAAAAGUGGAUGAAAAAAAAAGUCAGAAUAACGGGAAGGUUUGAUGAGAA